CAGCCGCCGCGGUAAUACCGGCGGCUCGAGUGGUGGCCACUUUAUUGGGCUUAAAGCGUUCGUAGCUGGGUUAUUAAGUCCCUUGGGAAAUCCGACAGCUUAACUGUCGGGCGUCUAAGAGAUACUGGUAAUCUUGGAACCGGGAGAGGUGAGGGGUACUUCGGGGGUAGGAGUGAAAUCCUGUAAUCCUCGAGGGACCACCUGUGGCGAAGGCGCCUCACCAGAACGGCUUCGACAGUGAGGGACGAAAGCUGGGGGAGCAAACCGGAUUAGAUACCCGGGUAGUCCCAGCCGUAAACGAUGUGCGUUAGGUGUAUCGGUGACCACGAGUCACCGAGGUGCCGAAGGGAAACCGUGAAACGUACCGCCUGGGAAGUACGGUCGCAAGGCUGAAACUUAAAGGAAUUGGCGGGGGAGCACCACAACAGGUGGAGCCUGGUACGGUUUAAUUGGACUCAACGCCGGAAAUCUCACCGGAUAAGACAGCAGAAUGAUUGCCGGGCUGAAGACUCUGCAUGACUAGCUGAGGGGAGGUGCAUGG
rnacentral:rRNA from 1 species